AUGUGUAACACACCAACUUACUAUGACCUAGGAAAGGCUGCUAAGGAUGUCUUUAACAAAGGAUACGGGUUUGGCAUGGUCAAAAUAGAUCUGAGAACUAAGUCUUCUAGUAGAGUGGAAUUUUCUAUUUCAGGUCAUGCUUAUACUGAUACAGGGAAAGCAUCAGGCAACCUAGAGACCAAAUAUGGAAUACAGACAAUAGUCUUGGAACAGAAAUCUCUUGGGAGAAUAAGUUGGCUGAACCAUUGAAACUGACUCGAUAUCAAGUUUGUACCAAACACAGGAAAGAAGAGUGGGAAAUUAAAGGCCUCCUAUAAACAGGAUUGUUUCAGUCUUGGCAGUAAUGUUGAUAGAGGUUUUUCUGGACUAACCAUCUAUGGCUGGGCUGUGUUGGCCUUUGAAGGUUUGGCUUGCUGGCUAUCAGAUGAGUUUUGACAUAGCCAAAUCCAAACUGUCUCAGAAAAAUUGCUCUUGGUUAUAAGGCUGCAGACAUCCAACUGCAUACUCAUGUGAAUGAUGGUACUGAAUUUGGAGGCUCUAUCUACCAGAAAGUUAGUGAGAUUGAAAGAUCAAUAAACCUUACAUGGACAGCUGGCAGCAACAACACUCGCUUGGCAUUGCUGCCAAAUGCAAGCUGGAUUGCAGAACUUCUCUAUCUGCCAAAAAUAUAUAAUGCCAGUUUAAUUGGACUGGGAUAUACUCAGACUCUCCAACUAGGAGUCACAUUGACCCUGUCAGCUUUGAUACAUGGAAAGAACUUCAAUGGAGGAGGUCACAAGGUUGGGUUGGGUUUUGAACUGGAAGCUUAAUGUGGUUUUGAGUAGAGCAUCAUUUAUUCCUGGAAGUGAAGAAAAAUGAACCCACUAGUUUUGGCCUUAAAAUUCUGUGAAAUUUCAAAAGUGUGAACUUUUUAUUCUUCCAAAGACUUGUAAUCCUCCCCACUCUGAAGUCUAGAGAUUCCAAGUUCAUCUUAAGGGAGGUCCUCAAAGGCAUGCCAGGAAAUUGUCAUGUUUGUGCCACAUUUCAGUUGAGUUCUGCAGUGUUAAUUUAAAUAUGAUCCUCAG